AGUAAGGAUAGAGGUGCAAUGACAUCAGUACGCAUACGGAGGAGAAUGAGCUCUGAAGAUCGAUGCGGAAAGGGGAAAUUGCCGAAGCUUCUCGAAUCUCAUCUUCCUGAAGCUGGUUCUGAUACUGAAGAAGUGCAGGACUGUCAUAUAGGAGACUAUAUGGAGGGCUAUCUUACGC
rnacentral:ncRNA from 2 species